AGAAUCUGCCUUGGGGUCGGGGACAACCACUGGAAACGGUGGCUAAUACCGGAUAAGCCUUUGGGUAAAAAAUUUAUUGCCCCAAGAGGAGCUCGCGUCUGAUUAGCUAGUUGGUGAGGUAAAAGCUCACCAAGGCAGCGAUCAGUAGCUGGUCUGAGAGGACGAUCAGCCACACUGGGACUGAGACACGGCCCAGACUCCUACGGGAGGCAGCAGUGGGGAAUUUUCCGCAAUGGGCGAAAGCCUGACGGAGCAAGACCGCGUGAGGGAGGAAGGCUCUUGGGUUGUAAACCUCUUUUCUCAGGGAAGAAGCUCUGACGGUACCUGAGGAAUCAGCCUCGGCUAACUCCGUGCCAGCAGCCGCGGUAAUACGGAGGAGGCAAGCGUUAUCCGGAAUUAUUGGGCGUAAAGCGUCCGCAGGUGGCGAUUCAAGUCUGCUGUCAAAGCACGGGGCUUAACUCCGUUAAGGCAGUGGAAACUGAAUAGCUAGAGUGCCGUAGGGGUAGAGGGAAUUCCCGGUGUAGCGGUGAAAUGCGUAGAGAUCGGGAAGAACAUCGGUGGCGAAAGCGCUCUACUGGACGGCAACUGACACUCAGGGACGAAAGCUAGGGGAGCGAAUGGGAUUAGAUACCCCAGUAGUCCUAGCUGUAAACGAUGGAUACUAGGUGUAGCUUGUAUCGACCCGAGCUGUGCCGAAGCUAACGCGUUAAGUAUCCCGCCUGGGGAGUACGCACGCAGGUGUGAAACUCAAAGGAAUUGACGGGGGCCCGCACAAGCGGUGGAGUAUGUGGUUUAAUUCGAUGCAACGCGAAGAACCUUACCAGGGCUUGACAUGUCCGGAAUCCCGGUGAAAGCUGGGAGUGCCUUCGGGAGCCGGAACACAGGUGGUGCAUGGCUGUCGUCAGCUCGUGUCGUGAGAUGAUGGGUUAAGUCCAGCAACGAGCGCAACCCUGAUGUUUAGUUGCCAGCAUUAAGUUGAACACUAUAGAGAGACCACCGGUGACAAACCGGAGGAAG
rnacentral:rRNA from 1 species